UGUCAGUAGGUUUGUGAUUAUAAAUAUUUUCUGCCCGGUGGCUUAGGCUAAACGGCCGCGGUAUUCUGACUGUGCAAAGGUAGCAUAAUCAUUUGCUUCUUUAUUGGGGGCUUGUAUGAAUGAAAAAACGUGAUUUUUGCUGUCUCUUUUUUAUUUAUGAAAGUUGUUAUUUUUGUGAAGAAACAAAAAUUUCUGUAAAAAGACAAGAAGACCCUAUUAAGCUUUAUCUAUUUACUGUUUAUAAAUUAUUUUUUUUAAAUAAUUAUUUAUUUUAGGUUAGAUUUAAUUGGGGUGAUUAAAAAAGAUAAAAUCUUUUUUAAUAUUUGAAACUAUAAGUUUAAUAUCGAUCCAAAAAUUUUGAUAUAAAGAAUAAGUUACUAUAGGGAUAACAGCGUUAUUUCUUUUGAGAGUUCUUAUUGAAAAAGGAGAUUGCGACCUCGAUGUUGACUUAUUGUCUCCUUUUGGGUGUAGAGGCUAAGAGGGUUAGUCUGUUCGACUAUUAAAACAGG
rnacentral:rRNA from 1 species